rnacentral:rRNA from 1 species
UGGCAAACGGGUGCGUAACACAUUGGUAAUCUGCCCCGAGGACGAGAAUAACCCUGCGAAAGCGGGGAUAAUACUCGAUGAAAGUGGGGGGACAAAAGUCAUUCCCACUUAAAGAUUUAUCGCCUCGGGAGGAACCUAUGGCCUAUCAGCUUGUUGGUGAGGUAACGGCUCACCAAGGCGACGACGGGUAGCGGGCGUGAGAGCAUUACCCGCCUCACUGGGACUGAGACACUGCCCAGACUCCUACGGGAGGCUGCAGUCAAGAAUCUUCCCCAAUGGCCGAAAGGCUGAGGGAGCGACGCCGCGUGUACGAAGAAGCUCUUCGGAGUGUAAAAUACUUUUCUCUGGGACGAAUUUCGACGGUACCAGAGGAAUAAGGGGCUGCUAACCUCGUGCCAGCAGCAGCGGUAAUACGAGGGCCCCAAGCAUUAUCCGGAUUUACUGGGCGUAAAGGGUCCGUAGGUGGUUUGUCGCAUCUCCUGUUAAAUCCUCUGGCUCAACUGGGGGGCCGCAGGAGAGAUGGAUAAACUAGAGGCCGGACGAGGCAAACGGAAUUGCUGGUGUAGGGGUUAAAUCCGUUAAUAUCAGCAAGAACACCAAAUGCGAAAGCAGUUUGCUAGGACGCGCCUGACACUCAGGGGACGAAAGCGUGGGGAGCGAAUAGGAUUAGAUACCCUAGUAGUCCACGCCCUAAACAUUGGAUGCUGAGUAUUGGAAGUAUCGACCCUUCCAGUGCUGUACCUUUAAGUUAACACGUUAAGCAUCCCGCCUGGGGAGUACGAGCGCAAGCUUAAAACUCAAAGGAAUAGACGGGGACCCGCACAAGCGGUGGAGCAUGUGGUUUAAUUCGACGAUAAGCGAAGAACCUCACCAAGGUUUGACAUCUAGCUGCAAGGCCUGGAAACAGGUCCGCCUUCGAGGGAGCUAGACAGAUGCUGCAUGGUUGUCGUCAGCUCGUGUCGUGAGAUGUACCGUUAAGUCGGACAACGAGCGCAACCCUUAUCCUAUGUUUUAUAUGUCAUAGGGAACUGCCCGUUUUAAAUGGGAGGAAGGUGGGGAUGACGUCAAAUCAGCAUGGUUCUUACACCUUGGGCUACACACGUGCUACAAUGGGAAGUACAAAGGGAAGCCAAGCCGUAAGGCGGAGCAAGUCCUUUAAAACUUUCCUCAGUUCGGAUUGAGGUCUGCAACCGACCUCAUGAAGCCGGA